AUUGAACGCUGGCGGCAUGCUUUACACAUGCAAGUCGAACGGCAGCGCGGCUUCGGCCUGGCGGCGAGUGGCGAACGGGUGAGUAAUGCAUCGGAACGUGCCCAGUAGUGGGGGAUAGCCCGGCGAAAGCCGGAUUAAUACCGCAUACGACCUGAGGGUGAAAGCGGGGGACCGAAAGGCCUCGCGCUAUUGGAGCGGCCGAUGUCGGAUUAGCUAGUUGGUGGGGUAAAGGCUUACCAAGGCGACGAUCCGUAGCUGGUCUGAGAGGACGACCAGCCACACUGGGACUGAGACACGGCCCAGACUCCUACGGGAGGCAGCAGUGGGGAAUUUUGGACAAUGGGGGCAACCCUGAUCCAGCCAUGCCGCGUGCGGGAAGAAGGCCUUCGGGUUGUAAACCGCUUUUGUUCGGGAAGAAAUCCUCUGGGCUAAUACCCCGGGGGGAUGACGGUACCGGAAGAAUAAGCACCGGCUAACUACGUG
rnacentral:rRNA from 1 species